rnacentral:rRNA from 1 species
GAUGAACGCUGGCGGCGUGCCUAAUACAUGCAAGUCGAACGAACAGGCGAGGAGCUUGCUCCUUUCACGUUAGCCGCAGACGGGAGAGUCACAUGAGUAUACCCUACCUAUAAUUCUGGGAUAAUUACGGGAAACGGGAGCUAAUACCGGAUAAUAUCCUGAACCGCAUGGGGCGAUAGUGAAAGACGGUUUUGCUGUCACUUAUAGAUGGUUCCGCGCCGGUUUGGCUGGUUGGUAGGGUAACGGCUUUCCACGGCAACGAUGCGUAGCCGAGCUGAGAGGGUGAUAGGCCACCUGGGAGGGGAGACGCGGUCCAGACGCCUACGGGAGGCAGCAGUAGGGAACCGGCCGCAAUGGUCGAAAGCUUGACGGAGCAGGGCGGCGCGAGUGAUGAAGGUGCUCGGAGCGUAAUACUCUCUUACUAGUGAAGAACAAAUGUCGAAGGAAAUAUGGACGGCUUGACGGUACCUAGUCAGAAAGCCACGGCUAACUACGUG